rnacentral:rRNA from 1 species
AUUGAACGCUGGCGGCAGGCCUAACACAUGCAAGUCGAGCGGCAGCGGGAAAGUAGCUUGCUACUUUUGCCGGCGAGCGGCGGACGGGUGAGUAAUGCCUGGGAAAUUGCCCAGUCGAGGGGGAUAACAGUUGGAAACGACUGCUAAUACCGCAUACGCCCUACGGGGAAAGCAGGGGACCUUCGGGCCUUGCGCGAUUGGAGCGGCCGAUGUCAGAUUAGGUAGUUGGUGGGGUAAAGGCUCACCAAGCCAACGAUCUGUAGCUGGUCUGAGAGGACGACCAGCCACACUGGGACUGAGACACGGCCCAGACUCCUACGGGAGGCAGCAGUGGGGAAUUUUGGACAAUGGGCGAAAGCCUGAUCCAGCAAUGCCGCGUGCAGGAAGAAGGCCUUCGGGUUGUAAACUGCUUUGUACGGAGCGAAAAGGACUCUCUCUAAUACAGGGGGCUCGAUGACGGUACCGUAAGAAUAAGCACCGGCUAACUACGUGCCAGCAGCCG